UACGUAGGGUGCGAGCGUUGUCCGGAAUUACUGGGCGUAAAGCGCGUGUAGGCGGCAACGCAAGUCGGGCGUGAAAUCCCACGGCUCAACCGUGGAAGUGCACUCGAAACUGCGUAGCUAGAGUCCUGGAGAGGAAGGUGGAAUGCUUGGUGUAGAGGUGAAAUUCGUAGAUAUCAAGCGGAACACCGGUGGCGAAGGCGGCCUUCUGGACAGUGACUGACGCUGAGACGCGAAAGCGUGGGGAGCAAACAGG
rnacentral:rRNA from 1 species